GAACGUAACCUUGUGGUGGACAUUACACUAUGGAUGUUCUACAUGCACAAACUGAUCUUAGAUUUGCAACUAGUUUGCUGCAAAGUGCUUUACCAGGGAAUGCGAAUGAGACUCGUAUAAAUGGUAAUGCAACGAUUAAUGAAAAUGCAUGUUAGUUUUGAAUGAAGAAGAGAAAUUGUUUUCGAAGCAGCAUUCCCAGAAGAAAUUCUGGGGAGAAGUGUUCAUUAUCAUCGUAUUAAGUAUGGCUGCAGCAUUUAUGAUAGAAAUUCAAAUGUCGUCUUCAAUAUUUUAUUAACAAGAAGCAAUAUCUUGUGUAAAGCGAAGAAGUAUGUGUCAAUAAUUGGUACUGAAAAAUAAAAAAAUAUUUACUAACUUAAUAUGACUUUUGAAUUCAUAAUCCACCCCACUUUGUAUCCUUUACGCAUUACGAACUCCUCAACGGCGUCCAUGUUGGAAAACUGUUCACUCACGCGUGACGUCACAUCGUACCCAAAAGCGUUCCACUUAAGGGUUCGCCCACAACGCCUCUAAGCUAGUGGAACGACAAAACCGCGGUCGCGGUCGUGAUCGUUGUGGGCGUUAAGUGGAACGUACCCAUUGUAGAUUGGAAAUGUCAAAAAUGCGGUCGGUAAAGUGACAGGUGCGGCCAGUAACGUGACAAGCGGCAGGAAACGCAGUCUGCUCUGCCUCUGUCAUAGAAACUAAAAUUUCCUGACAGAAAGUAGACUUGAAAAUGAAGGUUUCAGAACGAUUUUGGGUCAAAAUUAUAUAGAAAGCAUAUAUGCUCAACUCACGAACUGGUUUAUUAGUGAUAUGGUUUUGAAGUCUCCCGGUCAUUCAGACAUUUAUUUGAUAUCAUAUCGUGUCAUAGAAACACGACCACGGCCUUUUCACAAGGCGUUUCCAUAGCGAUCAUUUUAUAUUACUAUUGGUAUAGUAACCCGAACCUUGUUUUGAUUAGUAGAUAAACAAAUUUUCGGUGACAAUUUUUUGUCUUUUACAAUAUUGCAAAAUUACCAAAUUGCUACCUCGCUUAACCAUGCCUUCUGACGCUAAUAAGGCCUCUAAGUCUAUUUUAGGUGUCCUGCAAGAUUUAAAGAAUCAAUCGUCGACGAAUAAUGGUGUAUCUGAAGAGCAAUUGCGGAAAAUUCUCACGGACGAAUACAGUUUUGCAAGCAAGUACGAAAAAUACAUUACCCCAAUGCUAGAAAGUGGAAUUCAGUUUGGCGCUAUACGCAAAGCCGGAGACAAAUAUUAUGCGGGGGACGUCUCGCUAGACAUUGUUGAGGGUCGUCGUAGGAAGAAGGGCGGUUCGUCUAGGAGCCGGUCACGUAAAGGUAUAUCCAAACGGGGAAAAGGUCGAAGAAGGAAGCGAAGCGCUUCUUCGUCGAGUCGACAAUCUUCCUCGUCGGGUGGACGAAGCCGUAGCAGAAGACGCAGGAGGGCGGUCGUGUAAUUAGACCAAUGUGUUUGCGCAAAUUGUACGAUUUUAUUAUCAUUGUAAACAUCUUUAAAUAAAUUCACUAGCUUUUGGUGUAACUGGAGGUGGAGUAGCCGGCAGAAUGCUUGAAACUAAUCUAAGGAAAUUCCCAGCUCUGCCACAAAUGAAAAAUUUUUACCUCAGCCCAGGUAUAUUUUUGCUUCACUCAUUAAGACCUACCCAAUUUCAGAUGACGUCUUCUAAAAUUAAUAAAGUCUCUAAUUUUAUACUUUUUUGUAGUUUUCUGCUAUACGCAGGUUCCAUGUUACCGUAUCCACUCUUAUUAAACUAAGUAACUCACGCUGUACUGAUUAUUAUGGCAUCAAUAGCAAGCUAAUCAAGGAAACUAUACAAAUAUAUGUUGACUAUUUAGUAAACGUGUUCAAUUCCUGUAUUUCAGAAGGCAAUUUCCCUGACGUCUUUAAAGUUUCUGUUGUAUUACCAUUAUUUAAGAAAGGCGAUUGUAAUGAUAUGAACAACUAUAGACCAAUCACUAUUGUACCAAUGUUCUCUAAAAUUUUUGAAAUAAUACUAAACAGGAGACUUUAUAAUUAUUUUGAAUGUAAUAACAUGUUUGAUCGUGGUCAAUACGGCUUCCGAAAAAAUCACUCCACCAUACAAGCUGUUUCUAAGAUGAUAGCUACAAUUAUUCAAUUUUUUGAGAAAGGAGAACAGGCUUUACUAAUUUUAUGUGACUUAUCGAAAGCGUUUGAUUGCGUUUCAUUUAAGAUUCUAAUGGAUAAGCUACAUCUAUAUGGUAUUAGAGGGCUAGCUGGAACAUUACUUUCAUCUUAUCUUAAUAAUAGAAAACAGUGUGUUUUUGUGGAUGGUGUUCAAUCUGAAUUAAUCUAUACGAAGAAUGGAGUUCCUCAGGGCUCUAUCUUAGGACCAUUAUUGUUUAUUAUGUACACAAAUGACUUUUUUACUUAUAUGCACCCGAAUCACUGUAUUGCUUAUGCUGACGACACUUCGUUACUCGUAUCGGACAAAGAUGUUAAAA